AGCCGGGUAUGGGUUUAUUUUAUUUUUUUUAACCAGGUUGCCAUUAUGAAGAAAUUGCUGUGCUCAUCAAGUUACUUUGAACCAAGCUGUUCUUUACCAAAUGCCCUGAAGUCAUUGGAAAGUCACACGACCUUGCUUUAAAGUGAAGACUUAGAAUUGUUUCUCUGAAGAUGAGGGAGGUGCACGAAGGAUGUCAGGCCUGUCUCACAGAGCUAAUUCCCAAAACUUCUGUGUAUUUGUGGCAGCCGUGUGUAUGCUAUUGAGAACUGGACGGGAGUGAAAGAGAGUGAUGAAGACAACAGUCUAUACAGCAUCUCCUAUUACCUGUUAGCUCAAUGCUUCAUGUGCAUUACCUCACUGAAUUCUCGCAACAGCCCAAAAAGGUCAUAAUCAUCUGGAGAGACACAUUGGCAGAGAGACUACCUUAAUACAAUGGGCCAGGGUUAAGCUUCAGCGUGCAAAGUGAAAGGCCACACAAAUCUUUGUCCGUAACAAAUGCCCAGUGGACAGGACACUCGGGUGCCCUGAGGCUGCAGGAGCUGAGGGUGAUCUUGCUCAGGUACUUCUGCUGGUACCUGCUGUAUGGGAAAAAGUCUGUUCCUCCUGGCUGGUGUCAGAAGUAACCAGGCUGAAGCCAUGCUCUGAAAGAACCUGUGCAGGGAGAGAAAGACCUGUUUGAGACCGACCUGAAAGCUCUCCGAGGGGAAAGAGCAGGGGGUUCCAAUGAUUCCUGUAGUUUACUGAGCUCUUGAAAAGAAGCAACCGUUUUUCCUGACCUUGACACUCAAGCAUUUUUGAUGGUUCUAGAAGUACCCAUUUUCAGGUAUUAAAUACCUUUCUGUUUGAGAUACAUGAUUGUUUUCUAUUUUCCUGAAAGAAUCCUGACUGAUACAGUAUUUGGUACUGAAAGUGGUUCCAGGAAAUACAACUGCAAAGAUGGAGGGAAAUCUAAGAUGUGUUGUUAGGCAUGGAUUAGCUUGAAGCCAAUAAUGACCUCCUGGCUAGUGGAAAAUGGGUUUCUGGUAGUCCAUGGCAUGCAAUGUCUUAAGUUAUGGCCUGUCAUUCAUGGAAUCAAUUGCCUGUUAAAAGACACCAAGCACCUUUUUGAUAGAAUACUCUGGUGGAAGAGAUAAGUACAAGGGUUAAAGUCACUGAAUGCAAUGGAAAAUUUACAGAAAAAAUACAGAACAAAAUACCCCAACAAUCUCAGGGCUUUAAAAUUUCAACUCAGAGGUAUAACUCAAAAGCACUGGAGAAGCAUCAAAGAAGCUUCUACAACUGCCCCUGAAAGAAUCUCUUAUCGUAGCAGAAAUUGAACCCAGGGUUGUUCCUACAAGGUGGC
rnacentral:lncRNA from 1 species